UGGUGGGGUGACUUGUCUGCUUAAUUGCGAUAACGAACGAGACCUUAACCUGCUAAAUAGCCCGCAUCGCUCCGGCAGUGCGCUGGCUUCUUAGAGGGACUUUCGGCUCAAGCCGAAGGAAGUUUGAGGCAAUAACA
rnacentral:rRNA from 1 species